GAUGAACGCUAGCGGCAGGCCUAAUACAUGCAAGUCGAACGGUGUCUUCGGACAUAGUGGCGCACGGGUGCGUAACACGUAUGCAACCUACCUUACAUUGGGGGAUAGCCUUUCGAAAGGGAGAUUAAUACCGCAUAAGACAGUAGCUGGGCAUCCAGCAGCUGUUAAAGAUUUAUCGAUGUAAGCUGGGCAUGCGUCCAAUUAGCUAGUUGGUGAGGUACCGGCUCACCAAGGCAAUGAUUGGUAGGGGAACUGAGAGGUCAAUCCCCCACACUGGCACUGAGAUACGGGCCAGACUCCUACGGGGGGCAGCAGUAGGGAAUAUUGGGCAAUGGACGCAAGUCUGACCCAGCCAUGCCGCGUGCAGGAUGAAGGCGUUAUGCGUUGUAAACUGCUUUUAUACAGGAAGAAACGACUCUUGCGAGAGGCAUUGACGGUACUGUAUGAAUAAGCACCGGCUAACUUCGUGCCAGCCGCCGCCGUAAGAC
rnacentral:rRNA from 1 species